rnacentral:sRNA from 1 species
CUCCGGGAGCAGGAGGUUCGACUCGAGCGAAGCGAGAGAACGUUGCGUUAGCAACGGCCCGCAGGGCGAGUCACGCAGUGGCGAGUCAUCCUCUAUCACCGGCAG